rfam:TPA: Bos taurus chromosome 5, whole genome shotgun sequence.
UCCCUGGUAGCUCAGAUGGUAAAGAAUCUGCCUGCAGUGCAGGAGACCCAGGUUCGAUCCCUGGGUUGGGAA